GAAAUGCGAUAAGUAAUGUGAAUUGCAGAAUUCAGUGAAUCAUCGAAUCUUUGAACACACCUUGCGCUCCUUGGUAUUCCUUGGAGCAUGCCUGUUUGAGUAUCAUGAAAUCUUCAAAGUAAAUCUUUUGUUAACUCAAUUGGUUUCUACUUUGGUAUUGGAGGUCUUUGCAACUUCACACCUGCUCCUCUUUGUUCAUUAGCUGGAUCUCAGUGUUAUGCUUGGUUCCACUCGGCGUGAUAAGUUAUCUAUCGCUGAGGACACUGUAAAAGGUGGCCAAGGUAAAUGCAGAUGAACCGCUUCUAAUAGUCCAUUGACUUGGACAAUACUUUUAUGAUCUGAUCUCAAAUCAGGUAGGACUACCCGCUGAACUUAAGC
rnacentral:misc_RNA from 1 species